GGACGCUUGCUAUGUGACGCCACUUGGAAGGGACCCACCUACAGUGGCGGAAGUGGAGUAAGACAUCAUGUUGCCUCAAGUUUAAUUGGAAAUCGCGUGCCUUGUGAAGAAUGGACACUCAGUAGAUGCUUAUUGAUGAACCUGUUGGUUGAGGAUAACUCGCUAACUUUUCUGAGCUUUGUUGGAAAAACUAGACAGGGGUCUCACUAUGUGAUGCAGGAUGAUCUCAAACUCCCUGGCCUCAAGCGAUCCUCCUGCCUUGGUCUCCUAAAGUGCUGGGAUUACAGCAGGUCACUGUAUCUCUAUGCAUUACAGAAAAUGGCUAGUUAAAAACUUGUCAAGAGAUGGGGUUUUACUAUGUUGGAGAAGCUGGUCUCAAACUCCUGGGCUCAAGUCAUCCUCCCGCCUCAGCCUCCCAAAGUGCUGAGAUUACAGACGUUGAGGGCUCAUGACACUCCUGGUGGCCAUAUACGCAGAGGUCAGGGAGAGAAAGGGACCUGUGGGCCAGCACCCUUAUUGGGUCCAGAGAGCUAUCCAAACAAGUUUCCAGCAGGGAAUUUAAUUGGUGGAUUUAAAGCAAGCAGGCAUGAGUUCCAGGGGGCCACACUGACUGAGGUAUGUAUGUAUGUACCAUAGUUUAACUAUUUGCUCAAUGAAAGACAUAUAUUAAUAGUUUCCAGUUUUUGCUGUUAUGAAUA
rnacentral:lncRNA from 10 species